rnacentral:rRNA from 1 species
AUGAAAGAGAGGUCAGUGGAGGCGGCUAUGGAGGGUAUGGUGAGCGCGGGAGGGGUGCUUACCGCGGCAGAGGAGCUGCGAUCUCAGUCGGCAAUGAUCGGGGCUGGGGUUUCCCUGAUCCAGCCUUCUCCGGAUCGGCUGGGGAAGAUGGUGUCGAGGCGCUCCCGUGGCAACUGCACGCCUCUCGUCAUCGACAUGGAGGCGGCUCGCAAGGCCGUCAGCGGUUUUCUGGUGGUUGGGCGCCUCCUCCCCUUCAAGGUUAAUCCGAGGGUCAUUGUCGACGACCUUCGGAACACGGCUUGGAAGAAUCAAGGGGUCGUCACCAUCCAAGAGGUGGCCAGCGACGACGGGAGGUUCAUCCUCAACUUAGCCGCCGAGAGUGACCGUCGGUUCGUGCUUAAGGCGCAGCCAUGGCACUUCAAGCGGGACGGCCUCAUCUUCGCCGAGUUCGACGGCAAGGGCGACCCGGCGGAGGUUGACCUUGGCGUCAUGACCAUAUGGGUCCAGGUACGCGACCUCCCGUUUGAGCUUAAGAUGGAGAGUGUAGGGUGGUCUCUCGAGGAUCAACUGGGAGAGGUGCUGGAGGUAUCGCACCGUAACCAUCUUAUUGUUGAAAAACAUUUGCGUGUUCGGGUGAAGAUUUUAUUGCAUGAACCUCUGAAUAGCUCUGUAGUGAUUACCCCUUUAGGUAGCUCAAAGAUUCUUAAAUUUGAUGUAAAGUAUGAGAAGCUACCUUUGUACUGUGAGUGUUGUGGGAUAGUAGGUCAUACUUCUGAGAGAUUUUGUAAAAUCCCAAGUGAGGAGAGAGUAGUUUGCUUCCAAAAAAACUUAGUGUUGAGCCUUAUUUGA